CAGAAAUAAACUUGGUGGAUUGCUGCUGGCUCUCUACAAAGAGCAUCGUGCGCAUCUGUCAUUUUUAUCUUUCCACCAUGUGCACUCUGCAUGAAGUCUGAUAAUCGAACUUUUUGUUCGAGGGUUUUUGGGAAUCGCAAAUUCAUUUGCUUUCUCCCUACUUUCAGGCUCUAUGUUUUUUUCUAUACACACCAUGUAUGUUGAAGAACGAUCAUCAUGGGCAAUUUUUGCCUAUAAAACAUAAUA
rnacentral:misc_RNA from 1 species